AGUGUAAUUUUCUCUAUUUUUUUCCACCGUGACUGAUUGAUCAGUACGAAAGUGUAUAUAGUUGUGAUGUUUGUACGUGCGAACUCUUGAAGCUCACGUCAGUUGUGAUUUUUCUCACAAGUCACGAAUCUUCAGGUGCUUUCUUUUAAAUCUUUAAUGAUGAUGGUGAGCGUUGAUGAUGAUGGUGAUGAUCAUGUUCCCACUAUCACACGUUAUGUAAUUUUCUCUAGAAACAUGAUAAGAGAAGAGGGAUAAUAAUACAAACUCAAGAUCCAUUUUUCUUAGAAAUAGCAAAACUAAAAUAUUAAAUAAUAGUGGGUGGUCUUUAAUAAAUAAGUUAAAAUUUGGAAAGCACUAGUGGCCAACCUAGCAUUAAUUCUCUUGGUAACCAAUAUACAAAUCUUUAUCAUAAUAUAGAGAAACGAUCUACAUUCUCAUUCUUUUGAAUUUUUUUUCCAAACCUAACACAUUUUUUAGUUUUAUUUCAAACGUUACACACUUGCAUAUAUCUCAAACUCAAAGCACUUUCUUAGCACAAGGAAAAAAAAAACAGUUAGCUAAUUUGGUAUAUAAAAAUUAGAGAUGAUUACAUGGUCUUCAAGAUGGGAUAGUACUUUGGAACGUGCAAAUUAGUAAGAUGGCAGAUUGAAAUCCUACAUGUUCAUAUUUUGCCAUUAAUUUAUUUGCCAAAAGAGCGUAGUAUAUUUUGAAAAUGAUUAUAGUUAUUAGGUGUUUAAAAUCAGGAUGAAAAAUAUGAAAAUAUAUAACAACUAUUUAUGUUCGGACCAAAAAGUAAAAAUAAAUAAAAUAAGUGAUGUGCUGAAAUCUGAAUAUGAAAAUGAGUAGACUUAAAUUAAAUUGAAACGAGUAUGAAUAGACUGAUUAACUGUGUCUGUGCGAGAAAAAGAAAUCGUAGGGUAUUUUCACAUUCCAUUUGUCAGUAGAGCAGGGACAAAAACGUGUGUCCUUAAGAAAAAGAAGAAAACUGAAUAAAAAAUCAGACGUCGACAGCAGGAUUCGAACCUGCGCGGGCAAAGCCCAAUUGAUUUCGAGUCAAUCUCCUUAACCACUCGGACAUAUCGACAAUUUGUUUAAAGCUAAACACAAAACUAAUAUAAAACACAAUAAAUCACUUCCCUAUAGCAAAAAAAAAUCCAGUGCAAAUUGUUCAGUGCCAAUCUUCUUACUGUGGACUUAUCUUCGAAGAAUUCUUUAUAAUCAUCAAUUAUCGAGUAUUCCACACUUGGAUUGGUUUGCAGGUGUAGAUGAGCUAUUUCUCUAGAGCUAUGGCAACCAGUACAGUACAGCCCUUUUGUCAAUGGAGCAGCGAUGAACAUCCAAAAGGCUUUAGCUAAGGCGAGCUUGGCAAGUGGAGGGAAGUUCGUAGUCCUCUCUAGCUUUGACUCCUUUCUUUCUGAAUCUGGUCGACCUUACCUCAACAAGACAAUGAUCCAACUCCUCUCCUUUCUCACAAGGCAUCACUCUCAUUUCCUUGUUUCAAUCUUUCGUUUUCUAAGCUUAAUUACGACCGCGGAACCGUUCUUGAAAGGACUAAUAAGUCGCUUACAAAAAAAGACUGGUUCUGACUUUGGAGUAUUCAUAUUCAUAUUCAUCAAAUUCAGUUGUCUCAACAACCAUAAGCCACAUUAAAACUAAAAAUUUAAUAUUGGGCUGGGCCAAUAAGGUUACAUGCCUAUGGGCCAUUUAGACGGUGUCGUUUUGAGUCAUAGAAAAGCACGUGCAGUUGGUUUUACAAACCGGUCGGCAAAGAUGAGAUUUUAAGACAAUUAAAAAGAGACAACUACUGUUUCUAAAGAAGCCGACAGUUAGCAAAGAGUUUUGGUCUGUCGUUUAUCGCAAACCCUAGGUCAUGUCUGGUGGAGGGGCGUCUAUCCCCCCGUCCUACGGAGGAGGUGGAGGUUAUGGCGGCCGUGAUGCUGGAUAUGGAGGACGCGGUUCCUCCGGCGGAGGUGGAUACGGCGGACGCGGUGGUUACAGCGGCGGAGGCGGAAGAGGCAAUCGAGGCGGCGGCGGCGGAUAUCAAGGAGGUGAUCGCGGUGAAAGAGGAGGUGGCGGCAGAGAUGGUGAUUGGCGUUGCCCUAACCCUAGCUGUGGGAACGUGAACUUUGCAAGGAGAGUUGAAUGUAACAAAUGUGGUGCACCUGCUCCAUCUGGUACUGGUGGUGACCGGGGAGGUGGUGGGUAUAGCCGAGGUGGAGGUGGUCGUGAUAGUGGUAGAAGCUAUGAGAGUAGUAGAUAUGAUGGUGGCAGUAGGAGCAGUGGUGGUAGUGGUGGCUCUUAUGGUAGUAACAAUCAACAUAGAGAUAGGGAUAAUGGUUCUUAUGUUCAGGGUCCUACACCUCCUCCCUUGGCUGCUAUUCCAUCUUAUGAUGGUUCUGGGAGUUACCCUCCACCACCUUCCAGGUAUGGUAUGGAAGCAGUUCCCCCUCCUUCAAGCUAUUCUGGUGGACCCCCAUCAUAUGGUGGUCCCACAAGGGGAUAUGGUGGUAGCGCUCCUAGUGAUGGAGGAGAUGCACCUGCUGAAAAAGUCAAGCAGUGUGAUGAAAAUUGUGAUGAGACUUGUGAUAAUGCCAGAAUAUACAUCUCUAAUUUACCUCCGGAUGUGACUGUUGAUGAACUCAAGGAUCUCUUUGGUGGCAUUGGCCAAGUUGGAAGAAUCAAGCAGAAGCGGGGUUACAAAGAUCAGUGGCCUUAUAACAUCAAGAUUUACACUGAUGACAAGGGAAAAAAUAAAGGUGACGCCUGCUUAGCGUAUGAAGAUCCUAGCGCCGCGCACUCUGCAGGCGGCUUUUUCAACAAUUAUGAAAUGAGGGGGAACAAGAUUGGUGUAACGAUGGCAGAGAAGUCUGCGCCCAAAGCUCCUGCUUUUGACCAGAGAGGCGGUGGUAGAGGAGGAGGAUGUGGCUAUGGUGGGGGAGACAGAAGAAGGGAUAACUAUGGGUCAGGACCAGACAGAAACCACCAUGGGGGAAACAGGUCUCGUCCAUAUUGAGAGGAAGAGAAGAAUCAAUGAAGCAGAUGUUAUUUGUUCUAAGAGUUGUGUGUUCUAUGAAUUAUCAAUAUAUUGGAGAUACCAAACAAAAAUGUAGGUUUUUUUUGUUCACGAUUGCGGUCUGAACUGGACAUGUCUGAUACCUCCUCUAUUUUUUCUUAGGUAGGGUUCACUCGAAAAUAUCUAUCAUUUGUUGGAGAAUAUCAAACCAGUUUCGGAUGUUUACCGUCUACAUAAACAUUCUAUUUGAAGUAAAGGGGCUCCUUCUCAGC